CUACCUCCUGGCCACACUCUCUGCUGGCCCCGGGCAUACCGCUGCAUACCCAUGUCCAAGAAAUCCCCUUUCAUUUUGUCAUCUGCCUUCUUGACAGCAUACAGGCUCCCUAUUGCCCGAAACACCAAGCCAAACCCAUGACAUUCUAAAUCUGGAGGAGAUUUUAGAAAUUAUAGUAGUCAGAUCUCAUUUUACAGAAGGAGAAGUUGAGGUUCAGAGAAGAUCGAUGAUAUGUCCAGGGUAGAACCAAAACUGGCAGUCAAGACCUCCACAUGAUGAGAACUUAAUAUCCAUCCAGACUUACUUAAAAAUAGCGUACGGAAACUGACCAUUUACUCUAAGAGCUUUAUGUGGAUUAUUUUUUUUAAGUUUGUUUAUUUUAGUAAUCUCUACACCCAACUCACCACCCCAAGAUCAAAGUUGCAUGCCCCUCUGAUUGAGAGAGCCUGGUGCCCCAGGAGCUUUAUAUUUAUUUAAUCUUCAUGACUCCAUUGUAGAGAUGAGGGACUGAGGCCUACAGAGAUUAUAUAACUUGCCCAAGGUCACUCAACUAAUCCUGGUCCUGAUAGCUCUCCUGUUGUCCUGGCUUCUCUCUCCCUCCCUUCUACCCCUUUUACACACACACACACACACACACACCCCUCAAAUCCUCACUCACAGUUUCCUCCCUGCCUGGAUAGCCCUUGUUCCUUCUUUUCCAUCUGGAUUGUGAGAGCCAACGCCCCCUUCUCCUGGCAAACUGAAUGUGGCCCUGGUGGAAGCAGCUCCUUCCAAGAGUCGCCCACCUAGAGUGACGCCGGCGCAGAUAGCAUCAGUCGCCGCCCUGGGAGACCGGACCCAGGACGUGCACCCCUCCGCUCUACCCCCAGGGCUGGGCCUUUGACACAGGGGGACUGUGUGCCUUGGUCCGUUAGUCUUGACGCAAGGGAGGACUCGGGGGAAGCAAAGCCCCCUCCUUGAAGGCUGAUGUGGGGUGGGACAGAGGGAGACUGAUGACCCGGACGGAGGAAGGGAACUGACCUUGAGGGCCUGACUACCUUGAGGCCUGGGCAGGGGAAGGGGUGGUCCUCAGCUUGGACGCUCACGCUCUAGACCACCUUCACCUGCCCCCGCCCUCACGUGGGCAUGUUACAGACAUUUGUCAUCCCUUAGGGAGGUUUCUUUCUUUUUUUUAUUAUUUUAAUAAUAAAUUUAUUUUUUAUUGGUGUUCA
rnacentral:lncRNA from 12 species